rnacentral:rRNA from 1 species
AUUGAACGCUGGCGGCAUGCUUUACACAUGCAAGUCGAACGGCAGCGGGGCUUCGGCCCGCCGGCGAGUGGCGAACGGGUGAGUAAUGCAUCGGAACGUGCCCAGUCGUGGGGGAUAACACAUCGAAAGAUGUGCUAAUACCGCAUACGUCCUGAGGGAGAAAGCGGGGGAUCUUCGGACCUCGCGCGAUUGGAGCGGCCGAUGUCGGAUUAGCUAGUUGGUGGGGUAAAAGCCCACCAAGGCGACGAUCCGUAGCGGGUCUGAGAGGAUGAUCCGCCACACUGGGACUGAGACACGGCCCAGACUCCUACGGGAGGCAGCAGUGGGGAAUUUUGGACAAUGGGGGUAACCCUGAUCCAGCCAUGCCGCGUGAGUG